rnacentral:rRNA from 1 species
UACGGGGGGGGCAAGCGUUGUUCGGAAUUACUGGGCGUAAAGGGCGCGUAGGCGGCCAUCUAAGUCAGACGUGAAAUCCCCCGGCUUAACCUGGGAACUGCGUCUGAUACUGGAAGGCUCGAGUUUGGGAGAGGGAUGUGGAAUUCCAGGUGUAGCGGUGAAAUGCGUAGAUAUCAGGAGGAACACCGGUGGCGAAGGCGGCUACCUGGACGACAACUGACGCUGAGACGCGAAAGCGUGGGGAGCAAACAGG